AGAAAAUGGAGGGAUGUCAGGAAAUCAAUGGUAAAAGAAGAUGUAUCUGUCCAAAUGGAGUCACCGGAAACUUUUGUGAGACAAAUCUGGUGACGCUUCAAGGAAAUUUAUCCAUGCCUAGCGUCACUGUAAAAGGAAGUCAGUUGAUUUGACUUCAAGAAAUAACAAAGAAACGACUUGAAGAAUUCAUCAUCAACCCUUUACAUUGAUUUAGUCGACCUAAUCAAGCCAGAGUUGCUGAGAAAAUUCAAAAGUGCAGAGCCAACAGUUGUGGAUGUAAAAAUAUUUAGAUCAAG